rnacentral:sRNA from 1 species
CGCCGAUGUCCCUUCGGGACAUUUCUCUCCCUAGACUUGGGCCGCCUGUGGCAACGCAAGCGGCUUUCUCUUUUGCUAUA